UAGUUGACUGUUAUGUUUUACAGUAUUGCUGUAGUAUUUUGUGACAAAGUGUUUAAAUAGAUGAUAAGCAGUAUUUUUGUGUCAUGCGUUACAUUUGUGUAUACCUCUACGUCUAUUCUUUGUUUUACAUGAAUAGAAAAAGCAACGACUUAAAACCCUUUUGUUCUUCUUUGAGCAGUAGCGAUAAAUGAAGCUGAUGCUUUAUUUUGUAUGAGAAAUAAUAUUUAUAGUCAUUGAAAGUCAGGUAUGUGGGACUAUAUCGUAUAAACAUUUGUGUCAGAGCAAACAGAGUUUUAAAGUCAUGCUAAUGUGGAUAUUCUUGUUGCUGUCGAUCAUAAGUGUUACAUCAGUAAAUGCUGGUUUAUGUACACAGUAUUACCAGUGCAGUAAGACAUGCUAUCAAACUGACCUCUACUACACCGGUUGUAUCUGGAAUUGGCACUGUGCAAGUUACAGGACUGUUACCGAAACCUGCAUACAGACAUGUUCCCGGCAAGUUUGCUGCCCUGGAUAUACUGGUACUAACUGUAACAC
rnacentral:lncRNA from 1 species